AUUGAAUGCUGGCGGCAGGCCUAACACAUGCAAGUCGAACGAGUGGCGGACGGGUGAGUAAUGUCUGGGAAACUGCCCGAUGGAGGGGGAUAACUACCGGAAACGGUAGCUCAUACCGCAUACCAUCGGAUGUUCCCAGAUGGGAUUAGCUAGUAGGUGCGGUAAAGGCUCACCUAGGCGACGAUCCCUAGCUGGUCUGAGAGGAGGACCAGCCAAACGGGAACUGAGACACGGUCAAGACUCCUACGGGAGGCAGCAGUGGGGAAUAUUGCACAAUGGGCGCAAGCCUGAUGCAGCCAUGCCGCGUGUAUGAAGAAGGCCUUCGGGUUGUAAAGUACUUUCAGCGGGGAGGCGUUACCCGCAGAAGAAGCACCGGCUAACUCCGUGCCAGCAGCCGCGGUAAUUC
rnacentral:rRNA from 1 species